rnacentral:rRNA from 1 species
CACACCCGUUCCCAUACCGAACACGGAAGUUAAGCUCUUCAGCGCCGAUGGUAGUUGGGGGUUUCCCCCUGUGAGAGUAGGACGUCGCUGGGC